AGGAAGGUGACUGGCGCAUCGUUAGACUCAAAACUCAUCAACGUCAUCUGCGAAGUCUUCGUCAUCACCCUCUAAUCAAAAUAUUAGCAAGGGUGAGCUUAGUUAUGGUCGGAGCUCAUCAAGUGGGGGAAAUAAUGCAAAGUUAACAAGGUUGUCCCCACUAUAUUCAAUGCUCAGGAGGAGAUGCUGGCAACAUGGAGAACUUUGAGGAGUUUCAGGACUACGACGAGUUCUAGUUAUCUUAGUGGCAAACCCCUAAUCAGCUGCCUAUGAAGGUCUUAUCUACUACGUUUUGUAGUCCGCACUUUGCUAAUGUUAAAUGACUAUGUUAUAGACUCUGUGGAUGUCUUGGACAUCUUGAUGUAAUAAAGUACCUUUCCGCUA